AUUUGACCUCGGAUCAGGUAGGAAUACCCGCUGAACUUAAGCAUAUCAAUAAGCGGAGGAAAAGAAACCAACAGGGAUUGCCCUAGUAACGGCGAGUGAAGCGCAACAGCUCAAAUUUGAAUUCUGACUUCGGUCCGAGUUGUUAUUUGCAUGAGGAUGCUUCUCGCGCUGGUGCCUUCCGAGUCUCUCCUGGCGACGGAUACGCCACACAGGGUGAGAGCCCCAGUCAUGCGUCUGCGAUCAACCUAAGUCCUGUGUCAAGCUGCCUUC
rnacentral:rRNA from 1 species